AACUUUCAGAUUCCGCACCCAUCAGAUCUAAAAUCUGGUCUGAGUGGUUAUAAAAGGAGGAACAGUAAAACUGACACAGAUUGAAGCUCUUUUGUGACAUACAAGCUAGUUUCAAACAAAC
rnacentral:snoRNA from 1 species